ACCCUUACCUGGCAGGGGAGACACCAUGAUCAGGAAGGUGGUUUUCCCAGUGAGGUUCACCCAUUGCACUCUGGGUGUGCUGACCCCUGCGGUUUCCCCAAAUGUGAGAAACUCGACUGCAUCAUUUGUGGUAGUGGGAGACUGAAUUCACAUUGUCCCCUU